rnacentral:rRNA from 1 species
GACGAACGCUGGCGGCGUGCUUAACACAUGCAAGUCGAACGGAAAGGCCCUGCUUGCCGGGUACUCGAGUGGCGAACGGGUGAGUAACACGUGGGUGAUCUGCCCUGCACUUCGGGAUAAGCCUGGGAAACUGGGUCUAAUACCGGAUAGGAGCCAUUUUUAGUGUGAUGGUUGGAAAGUUUUUUCGGUGUAGGAUGAGCUCGCGGCCUAUCAGCUUGUUGGUGGGGUAAUGGCCUACCAAGGCGGCGACGGGUAGCCGGCCUGAGAGGGUGGACGGCCACAUUGGGACUGAGAUACGGCCCAGACGCCUACGGGAGGCAGCAGUGGGGAAGAUUACACAAUGGGCGCAAGCCUGAUGCAGCGACGCCGCGUGGGGGAUGACGGCCUUCGGGUUGUAAACUCCUUUCGCUAGGGACGAAGCUUUUUGUGACGGUACCUAGAUAAGAAGCACCGGCUAACUACGUG